rnacentral:misc_RNA from 1 species
AAGUCGUAACAAGGUUUCCGUAGGUGAACCUGCGGAAGGAUCAUUAUUACGUAUCCACGUAUCAACCCAAUCGUGAACUGUUCCCUAUCUGAUGAGGAUUUCUGCGACCAAAUGCUCAACUCAAUGCAUGAUGGACUCGGUGGGUAGCAAGCAAUUGCUUCUCCGGGCAGAGCUGGUCGGUCCUAGUCUUGCUUGCGCAGGGCUAGCUCAUUGGAUGUGGUUUUUUCAUCAUGCGAACUAUUAACCCCUUGUACAAAAUUGAACUAAACUUGCUACCCGAUAAAAAGGGUGGUGAAGACCGAAAUUAAGAAACAACUCUUAACAACGGAUAUCUUGGUUCUC